UUUUGAUCUUUUUCUUCCAGCACUCUGAGCUGGAAAUAUUUUAGGAGCAGCUUGUUACAUGAUAUUUCACUAAAAAUAAUACAAGUCAAGUUAUUGGCAAAAGAGUUAGCCUUGGAGAAACAGUUGUUCAGAACCUGGAAAGCGGUGUGGUAGAUCUGUCCCGGCUUUUCAAACAGGAUAAAUCUCUGAGACUUUGUGUCUGGUUGUGAGGGUGUCCAGACUAAUAGAGAUGAAUGAUCAUGCGACUCCUCAGUGGGCUCAGCUGCCUUGAAAGGGUGAGGCCUUGCCGGACAAACAUUUUGGGACAAAUGGGUCUUAUGGAUUUGUGGAAGUGAUAUGGCCACUUUACCAAUUUACUCUCCUCUGCUGAUUUAAAAGUUUGACCUCCUCAAGCCUCUGUUCUCUCCUCCUGUUAUUCUACAUCUCUCUUACUCGCCCACACCCAUUCGAUUCCUGCGUACUGUCUAGAAGCCUAGCGGUUCAGCAUGUGGACUCUGGAGCCAGACUCUCCGGGUUUGAAUCCUGGCUCUGUACUCCUACCCGGGUGAUUUUAAGAAUUCUGGGCCUCAGCUUUCUUGUAGCCUCCCUUCACUGCCUGAGACUCUUUUCAGGAAGGACAUGAGCCAAUGCAGUCCAUGAGAGCUGGCUACGGAAGGGGACAUCCUUGCUCCUUCUUACCCCUGCUUAUCCUCAGCUGUAAUCUGGUGACUAAAUGGCUUCUCCUUCCAUCAGCAAGGGGACAGUGAAACCAGGCACUGUGUUGGUCACUCUGGAUAAAACCCUUAACUGAUGACUCCAUUGGUAAGGACAAAGCAGAGUGAAAUACCUGAUAAUGAGGUAAAUCUCUUUUGGAACCUGAAGAAAGGUGAGAAGUGAAUGGGUGUUAGUAGGACGAUAAGAGAAGAAAAAUUCUCAAAGAUGGAAGGAGGAGAAAGUAAAAAGAACCAAUUGUAGGGCAGUAUUUUAAACAAGUGUUUUUUUCAUUUAUCAAUUAGAGAAUCUGACUUUUUUUAUUUCUUAAGCCAGUUGUUCUUAGAAAAUUGCCAUCUUCCACAUUUCUUAUUCAGAUACCUCCACAAAAGGAGAAAUUUGGCAGCUUUAUAUUCUGGGGUUUUGUGAGAAAAAUUCAUUUUGUCACCCAGAGUCAGCUGCUGAGAAAAAAAAAUAGCAGCAGGACCUUUUCCUCUCGUUGUUAUUCAAAUACAACCCAGUUCUCCAGGCUGACCGAGGAAUAAGUUGGAAGCAAGCAGUGAGCAGAGACUAAUGCCUUAAUUGGCUAUUAAUAUAUGGUCACUGCUAUUCUUAGAAAUAACUGGUGUUUCAAUAACUACCUCAAAAAUGGAGUUCAGAUUUCAUGGCUGUGUUCUAUCACACAUAAAACCAGGAAGAGUUGAUGGGUAAUAGGUUGGACCACGAUUCAUUUCUGGAAAGCUCCAGUUACAUUUGCUAUUGCUGUAAAAAGUCGUGCUUGGAAAGUUGCCUGGUAACCUGAUUUAUCUUGAAUAUUAAUAAUUCACCCAUCAGGAAACUACCUUGCCUGUAACUCAGUGUCAAAAUUGAACACCUCUUUGACUAUGUGGUCUGCAAGGUAAUGGUGGUGGGGUUGGAAGUAAAUUAGUU
rnacentral:lncRNA from 10 species